rnacentral:misc_RNA from 1 species
UUUCCGUAGGUGAACCUGCGGAAGGGUCAUUACUGAGUUUUGCAGUGGGCUUGAUUCUGGCAUCUUUUUGAUGCAUGUGCUCAGCCCCGCUCUCAAAUCCACUCAACACCUGUCCACUUUCAAAGUUGUAGUCCUCCGUAAUGGUAGUCGCAAGUCUUUUUUGACUUGCUGUGACUGCGCUUUGCCAUUUAUCACAAACGAUAUUCAUUGUUUUGUAGAAUGUCUAGCCUCAUUGUAGGUGAGACUUAAUACAACUUUCAACAACGGAUCUCUUGGCUCUC